GGUCAGUGCGUCGGCACCUUGGCUCUAGACUGCUUACUGCUAAGUGCUACGACAGGAACAGUAACAGUCUACAGUCAUGGCUACUGAAGUCUGAC